CUUAAGACAAACAGGGCCUAAAACUCAGGAGAUUUCCAUCUAAUCCCUUGCAAGUCCAACUCUGAGUGCUCCUGGUGCAAAGAUACACAACAUCAUCAGCAUCAUCUGCUUCAGAUCUGAAUUGUUUUCUAGGACAGGAAGUUCAACUUGUUUCUGGCAUAAUCCU